CCUACGGGAGGCAGCAGUGAGGAAUAUUGGUCAAUGGACGCAAGUCUGAACCAGCCAUGCCGCGUGCAGGAAGACGGCUCUAUGAGUUGUAAACUGCUUUUGUACGAGGGUAAACCCAGAUACGCGUAUCUGUCUGCAAGUACCGUACGAAUAAGGAUCGGCUAACUCCGUGCCAGCAGCCGCGGUAAUACGGAGGAUUCGAGCGUUAUCCGGAUUUAUUGGGUUUAAAGGGUGCGUAGGGGGUCGGAUAAGUCAGUGGUGAAAUCCCGGGGCUCAACCUCGGAAUUGCAUUUGAGACUGUACGUCUUGAGAGUAGUGGAGGUAGGCGGAAUGUGUGGUGUAGCGGUGAAAUGCUUAGAGAUCACAAAGAACACCGAUUGCGAAGGCAGCUUACCAAGCUACGUCUGACGUUGAGGCACGAAAGCGUGGGUAGCAAACAGGAUUAGAUACCCGUGUAGUC
rnacentral:rRNA from 1 species